AACAUCAUGUAUGAGGUUGGCCCAAAAAUAAUUGUGGUUUUUGCCAUCUGAAAGCAGUGGCAAAAACCACAAUUACUUUUGGACCAACUUAAUA
rnacentral:miRNA from 1 species